CCUAGAAUGGGGGUGGGGUGGGGUGGGCUGGAGAGAAGAGAGGAGAAGGAGGUGACUGAGGGGACUGCAGCUGGGUGGGCGGUAACCGAGGGGAGGGAAACUGGUGGCGUCCCCAUCUCGCGAGGUCCGGAACGGCGACGCGCCCCCGCCCAGCUGAUUGGAGCCCUUCAGGCCUCCCGCGCCCGACCGGCAGCCCAAUCCUAUAAAGCUUCCUCUAAGCUGGGCCCUCCGCAAACGGGAUCCAGAGAGGAUCUCGCCUUGCUUGCUAAGGAACCAUGACCGGUCGGGACGCGCUUUCCGACGGGCGCAUUAGCAGCAGGGCGCUGGUGCCUGGCGGUUCCCCCAGGGGCUCGCGCCCCCGGGGCUUCGCCAUCACGGACCUGCUGGGCUUGGAGGCCGAGCUGCCGGCGCCCGCCGGCCCGGGACAGGGAUCCGGCUGCGAGGGUCCGGCGGCCGCGCCGUGCCCCGGCCCUGGGCUUGACGGCUCCAGCCUGGCGCGUGGGGCCCUCCCGCUGGGACUCGGCCUCCUCUGUGGCUUCGGCACGCAGCCGCCGGCGGCCGCUCGAGCGCCCUGCCUGCUCCUAGCGGACGUGCAGUUCCUGCCGCCCAGGGAACCCGAGCCCACUGCCCCGCAGGCUCUCAGCCGUCAGCCGCCUGCGCUCGGCCGCCAGAAGCGCAGCGAGAGCGUCUCGACGUCCGAUGAGGACAGCCAGUCUGAAGACAGGAAUGACCUAAAGGCAUCCCCCACCUUGGGCAAGAGGAAGAAGCGGCGGCACAGGACAGUUUUCACUGCUCACCAGCUGGAAGAGCUGGAGAAGGCGUUCAGCGAGGCCCACUACCCUGAUGUGUAUGCCCGAGAAAUGCUGGCUGUGAAAACUGAGCUCCCUGAAGACCGGAUACAGGUCUGGUUUCAAAACCGCAGGGCCAAAUGGCGCAAGCGGGAGAAGCGCUGGGGCGGCAGCAGCGUGAUGGCCGAGUACGGGCUGUACGGGGCCAUGGUGCGCCACUGCAUCCCGCUGCCCGACUCCGUGCUCAACUCCGCCGAGGGCGGCCUGCUGGGCUCCUGCGCGCCCUGGCUCCUGGAGGGUGAGACACUGGGCUGCAGAGAAAUGAAGUGAACCUGCUAAGCCGAUUGUCAAAUGGAUGAGAAAUUCAGAGCCAAGGAUCGGGAAAACACCCUUAAAGAACGAGUGCAAACUUCUGCUCCUGGAGGCUCCCGUUCACUGGACUUUGCAGGAGACACACAGGCUCCCCAAACCCCGCUGUGGUGCCUGAUGACAUUCAGCUGAACCCUGUAAUGCUGCUAAAGUCUGUCCCUCUGGAGAAGUGCUCAGGUAGCAUUGUUCUGCCUCAGCAAGCAUGCCGAUUUUCCUGUGUCAUCCUCGAUGAUCACUGCUACCAGCUUGCACCCCGAUGUGCAAGGAAUUCAACAACCUGGGAGUUGAAAGCAUUGGUCUCCCAAGUUCAGUGUGUUCUUUCCCAUAUCUGUUACCAGCUGAUGAGAAUAAACCUGCAGUCAUGACAGCUAGGUCCAAGUGGUGCAGAAAGCUGCUCUUACAGAAACGCCCCUCCUUAUUAAGAGGCUUUGUCUAUCACUCGGAACUGCUUCUACGAAAGAUUAUCUGUUGAAAGGGAACUGUCCAUACCAGGGCAUUGUUCUGACUUUUCUGGACUUCCUCAACCCAAAAUGCCUUGAAGAAAAAAAAAAAGACACCGAGUGUUAGGGCAGGGUCUCACUCUGUCUCCAGGCUGGAGUGCAGUGGCACGAUCAUAGCUCACCGCAACCUCUAACUCCUGGGCUGAAGUGAUCCUCCCACCUCAGUCUCCUGUGUUGCUAGGAUUACAGCGUGAGCCACUGCCCCAGCUACUCCAAUUUAAGAGUUCCCCCAAGGCUGGCUGCCCUUCUCCUCUCUUUCCAUCAUGAAUGAAACAUGGGCAUCCCCUUCGGCCAGCAUGGCUGACCUGUGCCUGCCCAGGUGCUCAGCUUGGCACCCAUGUGAGUUUGCAGCCUGAAAUUUUAAGUGGAGAAGUUUCUGUGCUUUUCUGCCUUGGUUCCUCUUACUGACCCUGUAAGUCACCAGCCGUAGUCAUCUCCUCUUUAACCCCUGAUCUCAACCCGGGCUUUGAAAUGUGUUUGUUCACAUAAUUGUCUGUUACCCACCCUUCCUGUCAUUGCAGUAUCUGUUGUCUCAUACUGACAUUUUAGGACUUUUUUUCACUUUCUUCUGUUGAAGAUCACCUACUAAAAAGAAGUACUUCCUCCUUUUCAUUCUUUCUUUAUAAGAAUUAAUUUUUAAUUGACAAA